rnacentral:rRNA from 1 species
UACGUAGGGUGCAAGCGUUGUCCGGAAUUAUUGGGCGUAAAGAGCUCGUAGGCGGUCUGUCGCGUCUGCUGUGAAAACUCAGGGCUUAACCCUGAGCUUGCAGUGGGUACGGGCAGGCUAGAGUGCGGUAGGGGAGGCUGGAAUUCCUGGUGUAGCGGUGAAAUGCGCAGAUAUCAGGAGGAACACCGGUGGCGAAGGCGGGUCUCUGGGCCGUAACUGACGCUGAGGAGCGAAAGCAUGGGGAGCGAACAGG